AAUUAAGAAAGACGGAAAAUGUUGAAAAGAAGACUCACCAAAAAAACGACGAUUGUUAUGUAGAAAUGAGCGCCAAUUGUUGACAUGGUGAUACUUAAGAUUCACGUUAAUUGUUAACCAGUUGAAAGGAGGAAAAGAAGGAUCAAGUGCAGGAUAAUGGUGGAUACUGGAAUGGAUGAUACAAGAAAGGAAACGAGAGAAGGAACAUGAGUUCACAAAUGGAGAUGUUGGUAGAUCCAGAACAUUCAACAGCUAACAUUAACAACAAUAAAUAUUAUCACAAUAAUUUGACUGUUUGCUGAUUUUGUUGGUCAGUAAGAUCUAAAAGUGUGAGUUUCUUUGUUCCUAGGAGGAGACGUUCCUGGUCAACUGGAGAUCAACAUUUAAGAUUAGUGAACAAACAAAAAUAAUUGAUAAGGAUGGACACUGACUCGAUUAGACGAGGAUUCAAUAGAUGAUAAAAAAAUGGUGAUAAUGUUGGAGGGGAUGAGGAUGAGCCAGCAAGAACGUUUAAGGAGCACCAAAGGGAAAGUGAUUACAGGAGAGGAAAGACAUGAAAUGUCAUGAAUUCAAGAGUAAAGGGAACGAAACAAAUGAACAAAUGAUAAUGAUAGGUUUUUGAUGGGGAUUUUUUUACACCAGACUGUUUAUGAAUCAGAAAUUUAAUCAUUAAGGUGAUGAAUUAAAAUCAAUCAGUUGAAGGACAUUGAUUGUUUGCUGUUGAAAUAAAGCGUCUUUAGUUUUUUGAUAAUAAUCAAUUGAAGUUAGUUAAUUAAGCUUGAGACUGCAUAGCGAGCAAAGAUUAUUCAAAUUCAUUAUUUUUCUGCCUGAAAACGACCUUAAUACGCUUAACUACUUUCAUGUUUUCAUGGUGAAACAUUUUUUUGCUGCACGUCAGUUUUGAAACAAUAUUAUUAUUUAAUCCUUUCUGCUUUUCAGGUAAUAUUUUUCAUUAUUGUAACACAAUAAAUCAUAAAUGGUUUAAGGUAAUUUUGAAAACCAAUCGUGAUGCUGUUGAAUAAUCGCGAUUAUGUAUAGUUUCUUGUAACUUUAAUCUGCAGAUUGAAUAACAUUUUUGCGUGAAAUUUCUUAUUCAACGUAUCAAUUAAUCACUCAUCAAUUAACUUGAUAUCUUACUUUGCAACUUGAAUAAUUUUCAACAUGUGUUUUGAUAUCAAGUUUGCCAGUAAACGUUAUUUCAUUUAAACGCAUAGUUUAGAGUUAUAUUUUAUACCGAUUUUAAUCUUUUUUACAAAAAAAAUGUGAAUAAUUUCAAAUGAAACUGAAUAUGACUUUGAGAUUCAAAAUUUACAAUAUGAAUGAUUAUGAAAGAUGUGAAAAUAGAUAAACUUGAAAUCUUGGAGGUGAAUUUAAAUUUGCUGUCUUUGGAUGGAUUUCUUUUGGUAGUGUCAUCAUUAAAAGCUGUUGGGUCUGUCACUCGAAGCAAAUGAA